rnacentral:rRNA from 1 species
GAUUUCAUAAAUGUUUUUAAAAUUGAAAAUUCUUUAAAAUAUUUAUGAAUGUGAUACGCUUUUGUUCUUUAGGUUAUCUAGUUUUAUUUUUUUUAGGGGGAAACCUUUUAAGUUUUCUUGGUUUUAUUUUUUUAAUUUUUUUCCUUAAAAGUAGGUGAUUGUGUAAUAAUUUAUAGUUUGUUUUUUAGAAAAUUCUAUUUGUUUUAUAAUAUAGUAUAAUUAAUUAGUAGAUUAGUAGAUUAGUUGGGUAAAAGAAGUAAUUUUAUCUGUUUUUUAAGUUUUAGAUUAUUCAAUUUACUGAUUUUUCCUUAGACUGGUUAAUAAAACCAUAGCUAUAAAAUUUAUAGUAGUUUCUGCCCUAUGCGCACAUGUAAAUGGCUGUCUUUGACACUAAGGUAGCAAAGUCAUUAGUUAUUUAAUUGGUAACCUGUAUGAAUGAAUUUUCUGGGGGGAUAUUAUUUUUUUUUUUGAAUUUAUAAAUUUGUUGAAAAUAACAAUUUUUUCUAUAAGACUAAAAGACCCUAAAAUUUUUAUAACUUAUAUUAAAAAGUUAUUUGGUUGGGGCAAUAAUAAAAAGUUAAUAUUAUAAUAUUUUUGUUUUUUUGAACUUUUUUUAUUGAUAAAAGGUAAAAUACUUUAGGGAUAACAGCUUAAUUAUUUUUAGGAGUUCUUAUUAUUAAGAUAGUUUUAGACCUCGAUGUUGGAUUGGGAAAACUUUUUGGGGCAG